GCGCACACUGCGCAGGACAGAGAGCCGGUCGGCCGGCCGGAUCCCAUUCCCCCGUGACCCAGCCCAGCUCUUGCUACAGGGUGUGCUGACCCUCACCUAUAGGCUGGAAGAGGUCCUGUUGGAGACUUGAACAGGGAGCAUGGCCCCACAGAGAAACAGGCCCCUUCAAGAGGUCACCGCUCCCGAGGGCGCCUGACUGCUCGGCAGACAAUGGGAUUCCGGCCCUGGACUCACAGGCUCUCAAGGACCCAGCAGUGCCUACGACCAGUCUCUUCACCCCUAAAGAGUCAAGGCUCCCAGAAUGCCAGGAGGCCAAGGAGAUCAAGUUGACAAGCAUUCCUAGGAGUGGCAUUCCAGGGUCCAGAGAGAGGCUCCCAAGGGACACCUUUGGCUUGCUGUCCAAGUGUUCCAGACAGAAGCACCAAUCUUCACUGCGAGACAACACUAGUGAGGGGCCUGAAACUCCACCCGGAGGGGACUGAAGGCAUUCGUUAACUUCCUGAGAAUCCUGUCCCAGAAACCCAAAUCUACAGGUACGUUUGCCGACUCAGAGGUUAAUAAAUAAAGAAACGAGGAUACUGUUUGUUGAUAGGACCUGGCGGCUGCUCACUGGUUUGCAGUUUUAGAGACUUGGAUGUUAGGGAGAGAUGGGGAUUGUCUGCUCCAAGAGAACCUGAGACUCGGGCAGCCACCAGUGUCCCCUGGCUGGGCCCUGUCGUAGGGAGCACACCUUUGCCCCCUGUCACCCUGAAGGAGCAGACUCCUUCACACCGCAUCAGGCAGAAUGGGCGAUCUCAGAUCUCCAGGCCUGCACUUCCUGAUCCAUAAGAAGCAGGUGAGCAGAAGUGGGCAGCGAGAACCCCUUCUGGCUGCCAAGAUGCAAGGGGGGAAUCCGCAUGCAGUGAGCAGCACCCAGAUCUGAGCUCUCUCCCCUUGAACCACUCUCCUCUCCCUGCCUGCGCCCCUCCCAGCAGAUGCCUGAAGGUGGGUCAAUCAAGUGAGCUAUAAUUAGAACCCAAAUGAUACUUUCAUUAGGCAAAUGUUCUAGGCUUUCCCAUUGUGACUCUGGUUGUAUUUGAUGAGUACCUAUGCCAGGUCCCUGUGCUUCUCUCACACACACACCCCUCCCCCUAUACUAUUUUAAUAGUAUGACUCUGGUGUCCUGAUAGCCUAAUAAACUGUAAUAUUGGGGCAGAGAUUUGAGGUCCAAGAACAAUAAUAAACAACACGGACACUUACUCCAAUACUUGUGUUUUCUCAGCGGAGUCCCACACCCAUUAUAAGGCAAAUACGCCAUGCCACUUUACAAAAGGGGAAACCAAGGCUCAGGAAGACUAGGUAACUCACCUGAGGUUUCAAGGCAAAGGGCCUGACCCAACUGAAUCAGAUCCCAAACCUACUGUACUCUUCUAUCUAUAAUCUUUCUGUUGGGGUGAGGAGUAAGGCUCUAUCCUGGGAGCUGGCACAGUCCCAGAAACCUGGUAGGCUAUGGAGGUUGCUAUGGCAACACCAAUUAAAUGGACAGCGGGUUUUCAUUCAGUUGGGAAGCUGUGAGCAAGCCUGCUACCAGUCCUGCUGCCCCAAAUUCUGCCUGGCCUUCAAGGUCCUCUCUGGCUGAUUCUUCCAGGCAGCCCUCCCUAGUCACAUACCCUGUGACCAGUG